rnacentral:rRNA from 1 species
UACAGAGGUCUCAAGCGUUGUUCGGAUUCAUUGGGCGUAAAGGGUGCGUAGGUGGCGCCGUAAGUCGGGUGUGAAAUUUCGGAGCUUAACUCCGAAAACUGCAUUCGAUACUGCGGUGCUUGAGGACUGGAGAGGAGACUGGAAUUCAUGGUGUAGCAGUGAAAAUGCGUAGAGAUCAUGAGGAAGACCAGUGGCGAAGGCGGGUCUCUGGACAGUUCCUGACACUGAGGCACGAAGGCCAGGGGAGCAAACGGG